rnacentral:rRNA from 1 species
AUGAACGCUGGCGGCGUGCCUAAUACAUGCAAGUCGAGCGAACGGACGAGAAGCUUGCUUUUCUGAUGUUAGCGGCGGACGGGUGAGUAACACGUGGAUAACCUACCUAUAAGACUGGGAUAACUUCGGGAAACCGUAGCUAAUACCGGAUAAUAUUUUGAACCGCAUGGUUCAAAAGUGAAAGACGGUCUUGCUGUCACUUAUAGAUGGAUCCGCGCUGCAUUAGCUAGUUGGUAAGGUAACGGCUUACCAAGGCAACGAUGCAUAGCCGACCUGAGAGGGUGAUCGGCCACACUGGAACUGAGACACGGUCCAGACUCCUACGGGAGGCAGCAGUAGGGAAUCUUCCGCAAUGGGCGAAAGCCUGACGGAGCAACGCCGCGUGAGUGAUGAAGGUCUUCGGAUCGUAAAACUCUGUUAUUAGGGAAGAACAUAUGUGUAAGUAACUGUGCACAUCUUGACGGUACCUAAUCAGAAAGCCACGGCUAACUACGUG